rnacentral:rRNA from 1 species
UACGUAGGGGGGCUAGCGUUGUCCGGAAUCAUUGGGCGUAAAGCGCGUGUAGGCGGUCCGGUAAGUCCGCUGUGAAAGUCGGGGGCUCAACCCUCGAAUGCCGGUGGAUACUGUCGGGCUAGAGUGCGGAAGAGGCGAGUGGAAUUCCUGGUGUAGCGGUGAAAUGCGCAGAUAUCAGGAGGAACACCAAUUGCGAAGGCAGCUCGCUGGGACGUAACUGACGCUGAGGCACGAAGGCCAGGGGAGCAAACGGG